UUUCGUGCAAAAAAUUCUGAAAUACAUGCAUACUGGAAUGAUACAGAGAAGAUUAGCAUGGGCCUGUGCAAGGAUGACAUGCAAAUUUGUAAGGCAUUCCCUAUAAUA
ensembl:snRNA U6 U6 spliceosomal RNA